rnacentral:rRNA from 1 species
AAUGGGGCGCAGCCUGAUGGAGCACGCCGCGUGAGUGAUGAAGGGUUUCGGCUCGUAAAACACUGUUGUAAGAGAAGAACGGCUCUGAGAGUAACUGUUCAUUGUGUGACGGUAUCUUACCAGAAAGGAACGGCUAAAUACGUGCCAGCAGCCGCGGUAAUACGUAUGUUCCAAGCGUUAUCCGGAUUUAUUGGGCGUAAAGCGAGCGCAGACGGUUAUUUAAGUCUGAAGUGAAAGCCCUCAGCUCAACUGAAGAAUGGCUUUGGAAACUGGAUGACUUGAGUGCAGAAGAGGAAAGUGGAACUCCAUGUGUAGCGGUGAAAUGCGUAGAUAUAUGGAAGAACACCAGUGGCGAAGGCGGCUUUCUGGACUGUAACUGACGUUGAGGCUCGAAAGUGUGGGUAGCAAACAGGAUUAGAUACCCUGGUAGUCCACGCCGUAAACGAUGAGUGCUAGAUGUUCGAGGGUUUCCGCCCUUGAGUGUCGCAGCUAACGCAUUAAGCACUCCGCCUGGGGAGUACGACCGCAAGGUUGAAAUCA